rnacentral:ribozyme from 14 species
AAAAAACAAAACAAGAAAACUCCAAUUCUUCGGUGUUGGCACCAUCGAUAACUCUAGAAAAAAAAAACAAAAAACAAAAAAAAAACGAUCGCUUCCCUGUUUGUUGGACACUGAGGAAAAUCAGGAUCUGGCCUCUACAAAACUCCCAUUCAGAGGGAAGCUUUGCCUAGGCAGACAAGAGUUUCUUCCGUCAAUUGGUGACUGCAAGAAACUGCAGUCACAGAUUCAAA